rnacentral:lncRNA from 1 species
UUUGUCAUCGACUACAUGACAUUUAAACCUAACAUUUUAUAAUACGCAUUUUCCACAAUUAUUAAAAAAACUUUCAAUAUAACUUUUUAAAGCCUCCAUCGUAUUCUGUUUCACUCUUUGAUGGUUAGACACUUAAGCUUUUCCCUACACCUCAUUUUCAUAAACAGUGCUGGAUUCACCGGCUCAUUCAUUCCUCCAAUCAAGAAAUAAAACUAUACCAGCUACACUGCCAGGGAUUUCGUGAUAAACCGAGCUUGGCCUGGGCCUCUUGGGGCCUAAAGCCAGCGAGAGGCCGGCAGGAAAGCAAUCGGGUGCCUGGGGCCAGGCUUGGGGAACUGACCUGCUGGAGGGGCUGAUGGCCCCAUGAGGGUGGCCUGCUGGUGGCAGUCACGGGGAGAGGGUGGUGGGGCAGGUGGGCCAUGACAGAAGCUGAUGAGGGCUUGAGGACCGUGAACCCAGCAGCCUGGAGGGCGGGGGUCAGGGUCAGCAUUAGGGCCCAGGCGGGGUCAUGAAGGGGGCCGGGAUGGCACCACUACCGUGAGCCCUGCAGCCCUCUCCCUGUGACUGCCUCCUGGAGGUCAGGGUCAAGGUCAAGGCCCAGGAGGGGUCAGCAGGGGGAUGCAAUGACACCAUGGCCACGUGCCCACCUGGCAGCCUAGGGGCAGGAAGGGUGGGGACACAGGGCAGCAGACAGUGCGCUGGGCACAGGGAGGAUGGCAGGGUCAGCAACCCUCUGGGCUACAGACCUCAGCUCAGGCGGACACAGCCAGCGGCCCGCACCGGCUGGAACAGCACGCCCCGGCGUCUGACGCCCUGAGUGAACGUCCCGGCGCGAGCAGAAAGGAUGACGGGAAGGGGGCGGGGCUAGAGUCACGUGCACCCGCGAUGGACGACGGGAAGGAGAAGGCGCCCGGGAGCCGCUUCUCCUCGCGGGGCAGCCAGGCCUCGGCAUGGUGGCCUUAGGGGCUGGGCCGGGAGCCCGCGUAGAGGAGGAGGAGGAAGCGGCGGUGAUCGUCCCGAGGGCUCCGCGGAGUGCGCACUCACCGCCCGGGCCCUCGGGAGGCAGCCCCCGCUCUCCACUCCCGGCCCCUGGGAGGCAGCCGCCGCUCUCCACUCCGCACCCGCAGGACCGCCAUGGACCCGGUUGCUCUGCGCGGGAGCUGCAGGAAGUGCUUCCUGUUUUGAAACUUUUCCUAUGAGAUGUUCCAUAGCCCUGGGAUGGAAGUGGUUUACUCCAGAGAGAAUUUGUGUUUGUCUCUGUAAGAAAAUAAAAUUUCAUCGUGCCAAGGGGAAACGUUAAGCUCUAGAAGUGGAAUCAUAUAACUUGGCUGUUUUUCUUCUCUGAGGUAUGAUCGUUGCUUCCUGACCUGUGUGUUGAGAUGUUGUAUGUGACCCCAACUACCUGUUCCUCAUUCAAACUAGAG